rnacentral:lncRNA from 1 species
GGGGGGGGGGGGGGGGGCUUAUUCUUGGUUAAGGGUAGAGUGCUUAGUUUUUUUGCUUCGGGUGAUCUGCCGUUCAACUUAGAGUUGGAGGAAUUAGGAGAUUGAAAGGUUAGGUUCUCCUCAUAGGGUCUAGGUUAGGACAUUAUCCUUAGAGGAUUCUUCCAUUUUUUAGGAAGUUGGGAGUCACUGCUGUGUAAGGGUUCCUUUGGGUGAGGGUCUUUUUUCGUUUCAGAAGAAGGGGCAACGACGGCGGGUUCUAGGUUAGAAGAAGGUUGCUAAUCCCCUUUUCCCUGAGGUUUUAGGAGAUAUUU